rnacentral:rRNA from 1 species
CCUACGGGAGGCAGCAGUGGGGGAUAUUGCACAAUGGGGGGAACCCUGAUGCAGCGACGCCGCGUGUGGGAAGACGGUCCUCUGGAUUGUAAACCACUGUCCCCAGGGACGAAAAUGACGGUACCUGGGGAGGAAGCUCCGGCUAACCACGUGCCAGCAGCCGCGGUAAUACGGAGGGAGCGAGCGUUGUCCGGAAUUACUGGGGGUAAAGGGAGGGGAGGCGGGGAUGCAAGUUGGGUGUCAAAACUACCGGCUCAACUGGUAGUCGCACUCAAAACUGCAGCUCUUGAGUGAAGUAGAGGCAGGCGGAAUUCCUAGUGUAGCGGUGAAAUGCGUAGAUAUUAGGAGGAACACCAGUGGCGAAGGCGGCCUGCUGGGCUUUUACUGACGCUGAGGCUCGAAAGUGUGGGGAGCAAACAGGAUUAGAUACCCCUGUAGUC